rnacentral:rRNA from 1 species
GACGAACGCUAGCGGCGUGCUUAACACAUGCAAGUCGAACGGAAAGGCCCUGCUUUUGUGGGGUGCUCGAGUGGCGAACGGGUGAGUAACACGUGAGUAACCUGCCCUUGACUUUGGGAUAACUUCAGGAAACUGGGGCUAAUACCGGAUAGGAGCUCCUGCUGCAUGGUGGGGGUUGGAAAGUUUCGGCGGUUGGGGAUGGACUCGCGGCUUAUCAGCUUGUUGGUGGGGUAGUGGCUUACCAAGGCUUUGACGGGUAGCCGGCCUGAGAGGGUGACCGGCCACAUUGGGACUGAGAUACGGCCCAGACUCCUACGGGAGGCAGCAGUGGGGAAUAUUGCACAAUGGGCGGAAGCCUGAUGCAGCAACGCCGCGUGCGGGAUGACGGCCUUCGGGUUGUAAACCGCUUUCGCCUGUGACGAAGCGUGAGUGACGGUAAUGGGGAAAGAAGCACCGGCGAACUACGU